rnacentral:rRNA from 1 species
UACGAAGGGGGCUAGCGUUGCUCGGAAUCACUGGGCGUAAAGGGUGCGUAGGCGGGUCUUUAAGUCAGGGGUGAAAUCCUAGAGCUCAACUCCAGAACUGCCUUUGAUACUGAGGAUCUUGAGUCCGGGAGAGGUGAGUGGAACUGCGAGUGUAGAGGUGAAAUUCGUAGAUAUUCGCAAGAACACCAGUGGCGAAGGCGGCUCACUGGCCCGGUACUGACGCUGAGGCACGAAAGCGUGGGGAGCAAACAGG